AGGAGAGCAGAAUUUAUCUUGUUUUCAAGGGUUCUGCUGACCUCCCAUUCUCCCUCUCCAAAGCUUAGACUAAUGUUCCUCUGUCUUUUCCUUCUGUACACUCUCUGUCCUAUGUAUCUCUGAUCAUUGCUUUCUUAUUUUGUGAUGGAGUCUCACUCUGUCACCCAGGCUGUAGUGCAGUGGUGCAAUGUCAGCUCACUGCAACCUCUGCCUCCCAGGUUCAAGCAAUUCUCCUGCUUCAGCCUCCUGAGUUGCUGGGACUAUAGGUAUGUGCCACCACCACGCCUGGCUAAUUUUUGUAUUUUUAGUAGAGAUGGGGGUUCACCACAUUGGUCAGCCUGGUUUUGAACUCCCGACCUCGUGAUCUGCCUGCCUCGGCCUCCCAAAGUGCUGGGAUUACAGGCUUGAGCCACUGUGCCUGGCCUGAGCCCUGCUUUCUUUGCUUCUAUCACUGACCCUCUAUAAUUCAGUUUUUGUUUUUCUUUGUCCUUUUUUAUAUUUUUUAGUCCUUGGCCUUUUCUACCUCUGAUCCCACCCUGCACCCUCUGUUCUUAUCUUAUUUUUCUUCUUCUGCUUCUUUCCUAUAUCUUUAGAUUACUUUGGCUCUCUCUUUUCGUUUCGUCUCUACUCUUCUGCUUUGUCUGUUUAUCUCUUCCAGGCUUUCUUUCCUACCAGCUGUCUGCUAACUCCAUUACUUGCAUCUCAGAGGCUUAUCGAGAUCUGCCAAAUGGAUCAAUACCAACACUGAAGGUUUCUCUUUGGUCCUUCUCUCAGCCUUUCCAGCCCGGCUGCCUGCUUCUGUCUCCCCUCAAUUCUCCUUCCUUCCUGGAUUCAGAGACCAUACAGAGGCUCCCGAUGGGCAAAGACGGCCCCUGUAACUGACUCAGUCCUGCAGCCUCUUUUAUGUUCCUUUCUCUAUAUUUCCUUGUCCAAACUGAGCAAGCCUAAAGCUUUCUCUCACCUGGGAUUCAGCCCCUCACCCCCAACUUAGAAUGCCCUCAGCAGUUUCCUUAUCCUUACCUAGCUCUUGAUAAUGAGGCAAAUAUCUCACUGUCUCUUCAUGUCUUCAUUUAAUGCCCUGUACGUUUGUCUUAACAUCAGCAUACCCAUCUAGAAAGCUGUCAGGGGAGGUGGACCUGACCCGUGUCACUGUCUUUGUGUCUAGCUGAGUGUUACACAAAAGCAGGCUCUUCAUAAACACUUUUUGAUGCUAACGUUUAUGAUGUUGCUGAUGAAGAUGACGAUAAGUGAGAUAAAUCCUUGGCAAUAUUUCUGGAACUGUGCCUGGCACAAAAUAGGUAAUCAAUAACCAUUAGUAGACUUCUAAUCAGAAUGAUAAUGUUAAUUGCUUUUCAAGACUCCUUUUUUGAUUGCAAAUAAUAGAAAUGGACUCAGAGGAGCUUAAGGAAGAAGGAAACUCUAUGGAGUGGAGAUGAGCCUAGACCUAGGGGCAGGACAUAAAGCUUGGCUUCACUGAGUCAAGAGCCAGGGAUUCGAAAGUUAUCAGCAACUGGGACAGCUACUGGCCAAGCGAUGUGGUCUCAUCUCUUUCUCCCUGUGCACCUGCUUCAUUUUCCUCGUUCUUGGCAGACAAGUUUUCUCUGCUCUUUUCUAUAUAUAGCAGAAUAUGGUCACCCUUUCCCUGGCAUUAAUUCUCUCUCUAAGCUCCAGUUGCACCAACCCAUAUUCCAGUUCUACCUGACCACAUUUAUAGAAGACAAGCGUGAUUGGCACAGCUGAGGUUAAGUGCCCACUCUGGUCCAUCAGCUGCCAUUGGGGACAGAAUCACAUUCCACAAAUGUGAGUGCUCCUCUCUGAGUGACAGGGCUAAUCCUUAAAUGGGUGGCCCGUGGUGGAGGAGUGGUGGCGGCAAGGCAGGUUCAAUAGAAAGGGCCUCCUGCACGAAAUACAGAAUGAAGAAUGAAGUCUGGCACAUCUGCUAUCCCCGUGUCAGUCCUUCCAUCUGAGCUCUUCCUCCCAUUACCCUGGACUUGUGCAUCCCAGCUGGGGAUCACAACCCCCUGGGAUCCAUGAAGUCUGGUCCUCAAAUUGGGGCUGAACUCAGCUUGUUCAGUGUGAGGAAGGCAGCAUCAGAACAUCCCUAGAUUCUCCACCGUGACAGGAUCCUGUGGGCCCCGGCCUUUGCUGGGCCCUCCUAGCCAAGUCUGAGUGUCAGCUCCUUCACAGAAGCUGAUUACAGAGGCAAAAGCUCUUCAGCUCUGGCAAAGAGAAAGAAAAACAUCUUCCCACACUGGCUGCAGCUCUGGAUGACUUUGCCCUUCUGCAGGUGAUUACUUUGGCUCAGAUAAGGCCUCCAAGUGGCUGGUGAACCAGCAGAUUUUCUAUAAUCUCCUAAGAUUUGAGCUCAAGCAACCUCAAUCACCCUCCCCAUCUGCCCCCAACCCCAUGUAAUAUCUACUUUGUUAACUCUUCUGAGAAAAAUCAAAUGUUUUGGCCUCUUGGAAGGGCUUGGAGGCUCUGGAUGCUGGGGAAAAGCAAAGUUAUCUUACUAGUGAAAGAUAGGGGUUAAGAACUCAGGCCUAGAAUAGACAGAACUGAAUUCGUAUCCUGGUACAUGACUCAAUAGUCAAUGAAGGAUUCUAAAACAUUUUAUUUAAAACAAUCAUGGGGAAAACAAGAACUUUGUGGAUUUCUUUAUGUGUACUUUAUGAUUUAGUUUGGUUUGUCUUUUGCAUUAUAUUUGGGGGAAAUUUCAGUGCCUUGGGGUUUCCAAAUUCUAGAUCCUUCAUUUAUUAAUCAUGUGACCUGGAUCAAAUUCUUAACCUCUUUGAGUUUUAGGGUUUUUCUGAGUAAAAUGGGGCUACUUAUAUAGCAAAUCCCAUUGGCUUAUUCUGAGGAUAAAAUGGGAGAAUUCAUGUGAGCCCUUGCCCUGGCUCCUGACACUUAGGAAGCACCCUCUGAACUGUAGCUGUUUUUUGCUGCUUUCUGAAGUGACCGUCAGCUCUAAGAAGAGGACUUUUACAAAUAAGGGCCCAGAGCUGGAAAACAGACCCAUUCUGAUGAGAAUUGUCCCACAGGUGUAACCAGUGUGGACUUUGCUUCAGGGUAGGUCCUGUAGAAUUGUCACUUGAUGAGAAACCCCUGACAUUUUGGAUGGGGUUGAGGUGGGGGAGCAGGAGAAUGAUGGGGGUGUGUCAUUCUGAUUUUUCUCAUACUUCAGCAUCUAGUUAAGUAUGUUAGAAAAUCAAGUGCUAACAUCUCAUGUUCCAUCAGAUUGACCCUUUUCUGUUAAAUUUCUUGCAUUUUUUUGGAUUCAGAUGGCAGAUGCCAUUCUAUUCAUCUCCCUUUCUCUAGAGAGGUGUUCCUCUAGCUCUGGCCUGACAUUUAGGAGUCACUUUCUUAGAGCUGGCAUAUCCUCCCUCAUUCUUCAUUCAUCUAUUUCUUAUUUUACACAGUCAAGAAGUUCUUUUCCAAGUGUCUCCUAAGGACUGGGGUUCUCUCAGAAUCUCCUAAGAUAUGGGAUGUUGGGAAACAUUCCAGAUUCUUUGUUACCUUUUGGCAAGAGAAUUAUUUUGUUGGUUUACUCAUGAUUUCAACUAUUUUUCUUGAACAUUGACAAAGGGCAGUGCUCUAUGUUGGGCAGUGAGCAUCCGGACCUCUACGAGACACUUCAUCUGCCGUGGCCCAUGAGUUGCCCUGGAAGGCGGUCUCACACUAGUCUUUCCUCUCCAGAUUGCAAGGGGGGACUUUACACCUUCAUUCCUACUACUAAUCUCAUUGGCUGAUUCUAUAAUUGAAUAAUUUGUACACAGAGUAAAUUUUCUCAAUAUCUUUACAGCUGCCUGGGAUUUUGGGCAGGGGAUAAUAUCUCUUUGUGUGCUAAUCGGCUUUCCAGGAUCAUCCACAUUCUCCAGUUUCUCAAAGUUGGAUGGAAGACACAUUUCCUGGGUGGGGACUACGUCUUGUGAUCUCUGAAAUGGAAUUCGUUGCUCAGCUUUGCUCCAGUGGAAGACCUCCAACCUCACUUGUCACGGAUGAGACUGGCCCCUGCUUUCAGGAAAACUUGGUGUAUUGAAUUGUUUUUUUUUUUUUUUUUUUUGUCCCAGGUUUAUUGAAAAUAAUACAGCAUUGAUUCAAACAGGUCCCCAAGGUGUUUUGAAAUUCAUCCCAACUGUAGGCUGAGUGAUCUGCAGGUUGGAUAGACUGCCAAAAUCCAAAAGCUUCAGCAUUUCUUUAGUGUCAGGAUCUACUUCAAUGAUCUCCUGAUCCAGGGCUGAGACCUCGGGAACAUGAUUGUCUCUCCUUUCUCUCUCCUUCUCCUGCAGCUUGUUGGAGAUACUCUUCCUGGGCCUCUCUGAAUCCCCUUCAUCAGAUGCGUGACAUAGCCUGCUCUCUUGUUGUGGAGCUUCUUGCCAGGGAUAAUGGCGAUCUCCUCGCACACGUGCUUGUUCAUGUGGAAGUCGUUGCCCAGUCGCGUGUAGUAGUUUUCUAUGAUGACCCAGGCUGCCUUCUUCACGGUUUUGGUGGGUCCUUAGUGGUUCAAGUCAUUAUGAUGGAGAAACACAUGGCUCCGUCAAAUUUAUCCCUUCCCUGAAAUGCUGCCUAACUUUAGAUUCCUUCCCUGAAUUCUCUGCCUAGGAUGCGAAGAUUUGGGACUAUGAUUGUCCCCUGUGUUCUGGUCCUGCUCCUUUCAAAGAUUGCCAUAUUAACCCUAUUAGCAUCAGGGCCAGAAAGAGGAGAGAAAGAUGGUGCUAUGAUUUACGUUUGUUCCCACCUAAACUCAUGUUGAAAUUUGAUCCCCACUGUGUUGGGAGGUGGGACCUAGUGGGAAGUGUUUGGGUCACAGAAGGGGAUCCCUAACGAAUGGCUUAGUAUUCUCUAGAUAGUGAAUGAAUUCUAGGUCUCACUAGACUGGCUUAGGUCUCACAGGAAUAUUCCCUUGAGGUGGGUUGUUAUAAAAGCAGGACACCCCCAGGGCUUUGCUUCUUCACACAUGUCCACUUCUUUGACUUUCUUCACCUGAUUUUGAUGCAGCAUGAAAGUCUUCAUCAGAAGCCAUGGCCAUGCCCUUGAACUUUGCAGCCUGCAGAACCAUGAGCUAAAAUAAAACUCUUUUCUUUAUAAAUUA